GCCAAAUAAUGUUUAUAUUUUUUAUCAUCACAUGGUAACGAUGAAUUAUAUAGAUAUGAGAUGGUAUUAAAUUCACCUGAUACAAUGUGCACAUAAUUUGUAAUUUAAGGCAAAUUAAAUCAGCCUAUUUAUUCAAGAUGUAAUAAUGAUUUAUAAUAUGCCAUAAGGAAAAUGGGGAAUAAGACUGCUAUAUAGAAUAGUUGAGAAAUUAAUGGUACAAUAAUGAAAUCCAUACACUGUAUUAUUGAC